rnacentral:ncRNA from 2 species
CUCUUAUCAAGAGCGACCGAGGGACAGGCCCUAUGACGUCCGGCAACCUCUAAGUUUCAUACUUAGUCGGUGCUAAAUCCUGCAGAGCUAUGGCUCUGAAAGAUAAGAG